rfam:Marinobacterium sp. AK27 ATG5_contig_5, whole genome shotgun sequence.
GGGGGUGACUUGGCUUCGACGCUGAUUACGAACCCUUGGGUGCAUGCCGAGAACGUGAUGAUUCUCGUAAAUCCCUCAUCACACUAGUUAUAGUUGCUAACGACGAUAACUACGCUCUAGCUGCUUAAGUCAGCUAGCGCCGCACUCUAAGGUGUCUGUAACUCAGAGGUUCGCGGUGUCAUAUGAGACAGAAUCGCCCGGAUGCUUCGCCUUAAGCUGAACGGUUAAAACUAAAAAGGCUCGCCCACAGCACCCUGGCUCUCGGGUCGCGACGGGUUAAUUAAAUAGAGCAGCCUAAGCAUGUAGAUCUCGAGGCAGAGGAUUGGCGGACGCGGGUUCGAAACCCGCCACCUCCACCA